ensembl:lncRNA
GCGGAGGGGAUGGGCCCAGGAGGAGGUAUUCGGCGGGAGCCGGCGCCGGGCGAUCGCUUCCAGCCCCCUGAGCCCUCUCCCUCAAGGGAAGGGCACACUCACUGACCCUCCGGAGCCUCCAAAACAGAAGUCACUGAAACCUGCAUCUUCCUUCUCUGCCCCCCUCGCCCUCUCCCUCCUGCAAAGUUGCUGCAGCAGUGGAUUUCGAUUUUAUGCACCCCGAAGCCAGCCAGUUUCUGUGGAACUCCCCUCCGAAAAACCUCCUCUUCCUGCAGGGCAACAAACUCAGUUCUUUUCUGAAAAUAAACUACCUCACCUGCAGGGAACUAGACUGGGGUGGGGGUGGG